rnacentral:tRNA from 1 species
GGAUGGGUAUGGCUCAGUGGUGGAGCAUCUACUUGGCAUGCAGAGGACCCCAGGUUCAAUUCCUGGCAUCUCCA